rnacentral:lncRNA from 1 species
AGUGCAGCUCUACUGCCGGAUGUGCCGCCAGGCGGGCUGCGGGCAGUGCGUGUCUGAGGAGCACCAAGGCAUCUUCCACUCCGUCAACCUCAUAGACACUGUAUACCAGGAGGAAAAAUUAACCUUCUUCAGUAGUCUGAAAAAAUUGAGAAUAAUAAAUGAGAAGCUGAUGAAUGAAAUCUCAAGUCAUCCAAAUGAUACUGACAUAAUGCUGACCAAUGAGGCAGAGGUAAUUGCACUGGAAUUUGGAGAAAUAUUCAAAACUCUGGAAAUGAAGAAAAAACAAUUGCUAGAAGAUAUUGAAAACCAAAGAAGUAAAAAAGAGAAAGAAUUUCAGAUUUGGAAGAAAAUGAAGGAAACUCACAAGAAAACCAUUGAGAAUUUUCUGAAGGAUUGUGAAAAGCUUGUUCAGGAAUGUGAUCCUCAGUGUUUCCUGGAGGUGGCCUGUGGCUUGAAUACAAGAAUGAAAACUCAGCUUGACCUGAUGAAUAUAGCAUCCAGCUAUGAGAAACCACCAGAGUAUACCCAAAAGAAAAUGGAUAUCAAACCUGUGGUUAAUGAAAUCUUGGCCUUGAAGUUAAUACCAGUUAAUGUAGGCGUAGUUAAAGAUGUACCUUCUCGAGGAAGUGAGAACUCAAUUAACAAUAUGUUACUUAAAAAUAACGUAAAACAAUGGAAGGACCAGAAAAAUACACACGGCACAUUUCAUCCAGUAGCAGGACAAGAGGAAGUACUGACGGAUGGUGGUCAGAUAUGUACUCGCUUAAUGUCAAUAUCAGAAAUGUCAGCGUUUCAAAAUAUGAGUCAUGAGGAGCUUCGUUACAAAUAUUACAUGGAACAUCGGAAGCUAUCUGAUGAGUUCAAGACACAAACUCUACCUGCAAGUAAAAAGUAUAAAUGUGUAACCACUGAGACUUUGAAGGAUAAGUCUUCAGGAGUUCCUUUUGUAUCUUCACCUACCAAAGCAAAUAAUGCAGACAGAGGAAAAAAGGGAAGCUUGCAAAGAGCAGAUGGCUUUGAGAUAAGCUUUUUCAGUACUAGCAAUCACAUCUUUCCGACCCCCGACUUGAAUUCUUCUGAAACAAAUGGUAACUUUAAAUUUUUUCAUGAAAAAAGGUCCCAGGAAACAAGCACACUGGCCUUAUCAGAGAACUUUAACAGCUUAGUCAUUAAAGAGGAAAUACCGCAGUUGUCAGCAGUUACAAUUUCUAAUGAAAUGGAUGCAAAUUCCAGCACUUCAUCUGGCUUAAAACCAUCAGCAUCAGUACCUGUUCCUGCUUCAGGUUCAGCAUUUUCAGAUGUUUCUGCAGAGAGACUUUCUGCUUCACCUUUUGCUUUCAGUACAUGUAGCAACUCAUUACCAAGACUUAUUAAAGAUGCAGCUACAGUUUCCUUUACAAAGAAAGACAGUAAAUCUACUUUCCNNNNNNNNNNNNNNNNNNNNNNNNNNNNNNUUUCCCUACGUUUUACCUAG